CGCGGCCCGGGCGGCCUGGUUGAACCCCUCACCGCCGCAACCCGGACCCCGCGAAGCUGCCAGGAGGGGCUGGACGCUGGGACCCGCCUGGUGGCCAGUUUAUGGCACUGCAGUAGACUGCCGUCUCCAAUGCUGGGAAGCACAUUGAUUCCAGACAGACAGCUUGUUAUGAGGUGACAGUGAGCAUCGCACAGUGCUGUGUGCACAUGCACCUGAACCCUCUGAACUCCAAUUCAGGAAUUUACAAUUGCCUCAGCCUUGGUGGAAGACAAGAGUCCUGUCUCUGGCUGAGGAAAACUAAAAUGCCAGCCUGCAAGAUGCUUUUUGUCAUGCUGAGACUGAAGUAUCAGCAUGAAAGUGCAGUUAGGUCAAAAACUGAAGUUUUGGUCCACAACCAAGAAAUUUUCCUCUGUGAACAACUUGAUCGAGAACCGAAUUGUUCGAGAUGGAAGACGUUCGAGAAACAAGUUUAGUCCUGCUAAAACAACUAGAGGAGGAAGAGAGAACCAGGAACCAUCUAGCAGACAAAGAAUUCCUCUCUAUUCAGGACUCUAGGAAAAGACCCUCAGAACUGAGGCCUGAGCUCCCUGCACCCUGGCUACAACUGGUAAAACCCACAAGUAUAUAUUGAGCUAAUGGAUUCGUCUGCAGAGGGGAUUACCCAAAAGAUGGUUAGUGUGUGGCUGACAGAAAGUGGAACCAGGACGUACA